AAAAGGUGCAAACACGGCUGCUUACUCACCUUUCUGAAGAUCUGCUCUUACAUAAAGCACUGGUCCUCCAGCCAAAUGCAGGCCCUGAACAAAACCCAGCCCUCUUGAGCAAACUGCUUCCUAGCUGCAAGCAUGGUGACCAUUCCUGCAAACAAAGAGAGAGGAAAAUAUUGAAAACUCAGCUCAGGAGUCCCACAAGAGUGUUACUCUGAGAACAUUAGUAAUGCUGAC